ACGCUCGACACCUACUGGAGGCAGCGGUGGGGAAUAUUGCACAAUGGGGGAAACCCUGAUGCAGCGACGCCGCGUGGAGGAAGAAGGUCUUCGGAUUGUAAACUCCUGUUGUUGGGGAAAAAGNGGAUGGUACCCAACAAGGAAGUGACGGCUAACUACGUGCCGGCAGCCGCGGUAAUCUGAGGCGGGCUGGCAAGGC
rnacentral:rRNA from 1 species